UCCUAUGCAGAUGAACAAUACAAGCACAACACCAAACGCCGUGCUAGUAACAAAGGCUACGAACUCAAGCAGUGUGGCUCUUCCCAUCAAAUCUGAUGAAAAGAGAUCUGCCAAUUCCACAGCAGUAGGAAAUGCCAAACCUGAAGAAAAGAGAUCUGCCAAUUCCACAGCAGUAGGAAAUGCCAAACCUGAAGAAAAGAGAUCUGCCAAUUCCACAGCAGUAGGAAAUGCCAAACCUGAAGAAAAGAGAUCUGCCAAUUCCACAGCAGUAGGAAUUGCCAAACCUGAAGAAAAGAGAUCUGCCAAUACCACAGUAGCAGAAAGUAAGCGCACAAUACAGAGAUCUUUGGAAGAAAAGCCGGUGAAGUCCACAACUAGUAUGGAAGAUGAUGGCAUACAAGGAAACUUAAAUGAUUUUGAUGACGAUAUAGAUUUUGAUGAUAUUUAUGGAGAAAGUCAUUCAAAAAAAUCUGGAUCUCCUCGGAGGAACAAAAUGGAUGGCAUUGGACAGUCUGAGAACUCCCUAGAUCAGGACAGUGAUAGGGUCCGAUAUAAUAGACUGCUGGAGAAGGAACACAAAACCAAGAAGAACAACGCUCAGGGUACCUUGGAGAAGAUCUCCAAAGAUAACUCAAUUGGUGCCAGCCAUACUGAAUCCAAAAAGGCAGUGGAAGGGAUGACCGGUGCUGCUGGUGUGAAGCCUAACAUUAAGAUAGCAGUAAACAGCGAUGAGGCAAAGCAGCAAAACAGCAAGCAGAAAAGGAAAAGGUCUAAGUCCAAAAACAAGAAGAUGGCCGAUAUUGCAGUUGCUAAUGUUGGUGGUGCAUUCGCUAAACAAAGGACACCGGAUGGCACAUCUGUCUCAAAGUAAGUUUUCAGACUUACAAAAGGUUGAAAAGAGAACCUCUUGGAUUGUUGGAUAAUGGAUAAGAAGAGCAAUUCUUUGGUAUGCUCAGACACAAUGGACAGAAUGAAGGCAGAAUUUCAUUGCAUACGGAAAAUGAAGGCGGGUAGUAGCUGAGAAGAUAAAGGCGUCGACUUUAGGUUAUAGCAGCAGAUGACUUCAUUUCUACAAUACUAUGAUUUGUUUUAUUCUAUAAAGCAAUUUUGAAUUUAGCUGUUCACAAUUUUUUGCAACAGUGUUCUAUUUUCUCUUCUCUUCUCAACAUUGUAAACUCAUGCUGAACACUACAGUAAUGUGAAAUGCAACAGUGAGUCCUGCAAGCAAGUAUAGUGAGUGAGUCCAUGAGCCAGCCUCACACCCACAC
rnacentral:lncRNA from 1 species